GGACAGCGUCGGGGACCCCCGUUCUCCCUGAGGUCAGAUGUUUACAACCUUCAUGGGAAAAGCCACGGAUGCACCACGGGCCCAUGUACAGACAUGCAGAGCAUCUUACGUGGUUUUAAGAAGGUAUUUGCCAGAGCCUCAAUCGCGCCAGGAAGUCUUAAUUCCCCACUGUCCCGGCCGGUUUUGCUAGGGAGAGGCAAAAUUGGCUUCAGCGCCCCUUGAGUCCGAUAUAACUGAAGACUGAAAUCAAACGGGGAGCUGUGGGCUUGGGCCGGGAGCUCUCCUCUCCCCUUCAGAUGGAGGCCUGGGUCGUGAAAGCAGGGAGCCCCGGGGAAGGAGGAUAAACAGAAAGCCCAGACGCGGCCCUGUCAAAACAGGAAGGGUUGAAGGGUUUAUUGUG